UACAGAGGGUGCGAGCGUUAAUCGGAAUUACUGGGCGUAAAGCGCGCGUAGGCGGCUUUGCAAGUCGGGUGUGAAAUCCCCAGGCUUAACCUGGGAACUGCACUCGAGACUGCAUUGCUAGAGUAUGGGAGAGGGAAGUGGAAUUUCCGGUGUAGCGGUGAAAUGCGUAGAUAUCUGGAGGAACACCGGUGGCGAAGGCGACGUCCUGGACCGGCAUUGACGCUGAGG
rnacentral:rRNA from 1 species